GGUCGAGUGGCUCUAGUUCGGAAGUCCUUUCCAGGCUCUCUAGCAUUUUCCUCGCUGCAUUUAAAACCAUGGCUCCUCCUCCGCUCCCGUAAUCAUACCUCGACCCAGCAGACCGGCUCGGGGUGCACGGGGCGGAGGUGGCCGCUGGCGCCGAGCGAGCCGCGCCCCGCAGCGCUCCUCGCCCGGGCUAGCGGCGGGGGCGGGAAAGUAGCGGCGGGGUCCCUGGCGCUGCCGCCCCCGGCUUUCCUCAGAAGCUUUCGCGGAGUCUGCGGCAGGGAGCGCAGCCCGCGGCGGCGGCGGCGUGCGGCUGCAGCGCCGGCGAGUCCCACGAGCCGUCCGCAGCGCUGCACGAAGUUUCCCGCGAGCCGCCCCGGGUGGCUGAGGUCCGCCGAGCCGGGUGGCCCAGGCCAGAAGGAGGAGUGGGUGGGUCUUUUGGGGCUCCUGGCGACCCCCUCGGCCGACGCUGCGAGUGUCAAGCGAACUUUAGAAAGCUGCUGCUGAAGAACCUGCGCCGGGAUCUCCACGGUUGGGGACCCGGGAGCGGGCGGGUCCGGCCUGCGGGAAAUGCGGGGAGAUCCAGUCGGCUGGUGACGGGCAACUUUCCGGCGAGCCUUAGCCGCGGGCCACUGCGCCCUGCCUCCUCUUUUAUUCUCCCGAGCUCAGCCGACGUUGGCGCCCUGCUCUGCUGGAGAGCUAGGCGCGCUCUCCGCCAGGCAGUGAGUGAAUUGAAUCCCUCCCCCUCCCCCCCGCCACGAGAGUGUCGCUCUCGCCCGUCCAUCGCCUCAUUUCCCCGGAGGUGACCGCCCGCUGCCCGCCGCCCGUCGCACCCCGCUCUCGGGGCGCCCAGCCUGGGACGCCGAAGGCUGCGUUUUGGCUGAGAACUGGUUCUUGGAUGCUGAAGGCUGGGCUUGCCCAGCUUGGGUGCAGAGGAGGCAAUGAGUGUCUUCAAAGUGUGGCUCGGGGUGGCCCUGGCAUUGGCGGAAUUUGCAGUAUUGCCUCAUCAUUCUGAAGGUGCUUGUGUCUAUCAGGGUUCCUUGUUGGCGGAAGAAGGAUAAGACAGCUGAAUGGAGG